rnacentral:tRNA from 1 species
GUUUCCGUAGUGUAGUGGUUAUCUCGUUCGCCUCACACGCGAAAGGCCCCGGUUCGAACCCGGGCGAAAACA